AACAAGGAUUCCCCUAGUAGCGGCGAGCGAAGCGGGAAGAGCUCAAAUUUAUAAUCUGGCACCUUCGGUGUCCGAGUUGUAAUCUCUAGAAGUGUUUUCCGCGUUGGACCGCACACAAGUCUGUUGGAAUACAGCGGCAUAGUGGUGAAACCCCCGUAUAUGGUGCGGACGCCCAGCGCUUUGUGAUACACUUUCAAUGAGUCGAGUUGUUUGGGAAUGCAGCUCAAAUUGGGUGGUAAAUUCCAUCUAAAGCUAAAUAUUGGCGAGAGACCGAUAGCGAACAAGUACCGUGAGGGAAAGAUGAAAAGCACUUUGGAAAGAGAGUUAACAGUACGUGAAAUUGUUGGAAGGGAAACGCUUGAAGUCAGACUUGCUUGCCGGAGCUUGCUUCGGUUUGCAGGCCAGCAUCAGUUUUCCGGGGUGGAUAAUGACGGUUUGAAGGUAGCAGUCUCGGCUGUGUUAUAGCUUUCCGUUGGAUACAUCCUGGGGGACUGAGGAACGCAGCGUGCUUUUUGCGAAAGACUCGUCUUUUUCACGCUUAGGAUGCUGG
rnacentral:rRNA from 1 species